UACGAGGGGUGCAAGCGUUGCUCGGAAUUAUUGGGCGUAAAGGGUAUGUAGGUGGUCUCAUUUGUCUGGGGUGAAAGCCUUGAGCUUAACUCAAGAAGUGCCCCAGAAACGGUGAGACUGGAGUCCUGGAGAGGGUCGUGGAAUUCCCGGUGUAGCGGUGAAAUGCGUAGAGAUCGGGAGGAACACCAGAGGCGAAAGCGGCGACCUGGACAGGUACUGACACUCAACUACGAAAGCGUGGGGAGCAAACAGG
rnacentral:rRNA from 1 species